rnacentral:rRNA from 1 species
UACGUAGGGUGCAAGCGUUAAUCGGAAUUACUGGGCGUAAAGCGUGCGUAGGCGGUUCGCUGUGUCCGAUGUGAAAGCCCCGGGCUUAACCUGGGAAUGGCAUUGGAAACUGGCGGGCUUGAGUGCGGCAGAGGGGGUGGAAUUCCGGCGUGUAGCAGUGAAAUGCGUAGAGAUGCGGAGGAACACCGAUGGCGAAGGCGGGUCUCUGGGCCGAUACGUGACGCUGAGGAGCGAAAGCGUGGGAGCGAACAGG